rnacentral:rRNA from 1 species
GGCCGCGGGAAUUCGAUUCAGGCCUAACACAUGCAAGUCGUACGAGAGUUUUUAACUCAAGUGGCGGACGGGUGAGUAACACGUAAGAAUUUGCCUUUAGGAGGGGGACAACAAUUGGAAACGAUUGCUAAUACCCCAUAUGCUUUAGAGUGAAAUGGAUUUUUCCGCCUAAAGAGAAGCUUGCGGCUGAUUAGCUUGUUGGUAAGGUAAUGGCUUACCAAGGCGACGAUCAGUAUCUGGUUUGAGAGGACGAUCAGACACACUGGAACUGAGACACGGUCCAGACUCCUACGGGAGGCAGCAGUGGGGAAUUUUCCGCAAUGGGCGAAAGCCUGACGGAGCAAUCUCGCGUGAGGGAUGACGGCCUAUGGGUUGUAAACCUCUUUUUUCAGGGAGGAAUAAAAUGACGUG